rnacentral:lncRNA from 1 species
UGAAGGACGUGGAGUGGCCGCAGAGUCGAAUGCAGCUCGGAACAGCAGCAACUUCCUUUGGCCUCACCAAAGUGACUUAAGCCUCCAGCAGUGGUCUUUUGGGAGUCCCUGGCUGAAACUAAGACAUAACUAAUCUCUCCUCCAUUUGCAUAUGAAAUGAUCUGCUCUGCUACAUCAUUUAGCUUCCUGACUUCCUCUUCAUGUCCUACAGAAAGGCUCAGAAGCAGACUGCUGCCAGGAAAGCUCAGGAAGCCACCUCUCUGCUUAUUGACUACUGAUCACUUCAUCAUCAGGUUAAAGAAGACAGUAAUAUGUGUGUAUGAUUAUGGUCCUCAGUCUCCAAAGUUCUCUUUUCUGGUGAAUAAAAUAUAAAUGAAUUAGUAGAUAUUAUUUGAACCUGGAACAAAUACAGAAAAAAGCAUUGUCCCCUUCCACAGAGAAGUGGAAGAACAAUCCACAUGAUUGACUUGCAACUGAGUAAGGACUAAGGAGCCUAAGAUUAGGAGAACCUUCAGAUAACACUUGUAAGGAAUAUAUUCCUUGAGCUUGGAAAUAAAGAGGAAGAAGAGGGAAAUGGCCA